UAAGCGGGUAGUGAAAUGACGGGGCUCAACCUCGUGUCCAUUACCUGAACUGCUAAGCUAGAGGAUGAGAGAGGUUAUUGGAAUUCCUGAUGUAGGGGUAAAAUCCGUUGAUAUUAGGAGGAACACCGAUGGCGUAGGCAGAUAACUGGCUCAUUCCUGACACUCAGGCACGAAAGCGUGGGGAGCAAACAGGAUUAGAUACCCUGGUAGUCCACGCCGUAAACUAUGGAUGCUA
rnacentral:rRNA from 1 species